UGGGGAAUAUUGCACAAUGGGCGAAAGCCUGAUGCAGCGACGCCGCGUGAGUGAAGAAGUAUUUCGGUAUGUAAAGCUCUAUCAGCAGGGAAGAAAAUGACGGUACCUGACUAAGAAGCCCCGGCUAACUACGUGCCAGCAGCCGCGGUAAUACGUAGGGGGCAAGCGUUAUCCGGAUUUACUGGGUGUAAAGGGAGCGUAGACGGCGAAGCAAGUCUGGAGUGAAAACCCAGGGCUCAACCCUGGGACUGCUUUGGAAACUGUUUUGCUAGAGUGUCGGAGAGGUAAGUGGAAUUCCUAGUGUAGCGGUGAAAUGCGUAGAUAUUAGGAGGAACACCAGUGGCGAAGGCGGCUUACUGGACGAUAACUGACGUUGAGGCUCGAAAGCGUGGGGAGCAAACAGG
rnacentral:rRNA from 2 species